CGAGGAGUGAGUAUCAUUCUCAUCAUCUCAGUCUCAGGGUGGCUCAUACUCUGCUGCACUCAGAUGUCCUCUGCUACAACUAAACAACCCAUGAGGUAUGGGUGACUUGAAACUUGUUUAAUCUUCAGUUACCAGGCAUUUAUUUGCUUCCCAGGGAUGAAGGUGAGACUGACUGACCAAUGGUUUCCUGGCUCCUUCAUCUUGCCAUUUUUGAAGACUGGAGUCCUCAGGCAACUCUCCUGUUCUCCAUGACCUUUCAUAGGUGACAGAGAGUAGUUCAGCAACCACUUCUGAUAGAUUCCUCAGCAGUCAUGGGUGCAUUCCAUUGUGUUCAGUGGAUUUGUGUGUGUUCAGUUUGCCUAGACAAUCUCUAACCAGAUUCUCCUUGGGAGCGGUGAUAUUUGGUUCCAGUCCCAGAUCAGAUUCAGGAAAAGUGGAGAUGAGAAGAAAAUCAAACAGACAGAAAAUUCUGUACUUGCCAGAAUUUUAUUUUCCACUGACACAUUUUUCAUCUUAGGACAAGCACUGCUACCUGAAUAACCAAGGUUAGUAAGGCCCAAAAGAAAAGAUGGAAAUGAAAGCUAUCCUCAACACUGACCAUGCUGUCUCCGCUACUGGCUUGAGAGGCUGCUCUCCAGAGAACUUUGGUGGCCCCAUCUAGGGCAUCUCAUGGACACCGCACAAGUUCUGCAAGCUGGCACACAUAUCCUCAAAGGCAAGACUGGGAACCAUAAGUCCCUUCUGUCCCACACACAGACGUUGUUCUCGUUUAUUUUCUGUCUCUAUUCCUGUUUCUCUCAUAGAAAAUCUUCUAGUGGAGUGAUGCUUCCCUUAUACUGAUUCAGUCUGCAUGGCUGUGUCAAAAGUUAUCAGGGGAGGUAGAGAGACCAGGGACUUUAUGGAAUAAAAAGGAAUGAGAAGGGCAUGCCCUGGCUGAAUUUGUGAUCUGGAGGCAAAUGGGCACGGAAACCAGAACAAGACAGGACCCUGAACUUCAGGAGAGUGAACUUUCAGCUGUUUAAGGAAUAACUGAAUAGGAUUCCCCAGGGAAGCUGUCUUAAGGGACAAAGGAGUGGAGCAGAGCUGGCACUGCUUUAAGGAUGCCUUUCUGAAAGCACAAGAGCUCUCCAUGUCCCCAUGUCCCAGCAUAAGAAAUCAAGCUAAGGAGGCAGGAAACCAGCAUGACUGGGCAAGGAUCUUCUGGUCAAACUGAAGGAAAAGAAGGACAAGUACAGGCAGUGGAGGCAAGGACAUGUCAGUGAAGAACACAGGAAUGCCAUCUAGACAUGCAGAGUUGGGAUCAGGAAAACCAAGGUGCGUGUGGAACUGAACUUAGUGAGGUACGCUGAUCAGAAGAGACUGACCAAGGAGAUCAUACCCUCUGUGAUAAAAGAGAAUGGAGAACUGGAUUCAAAAGACUUGGGGAAGGCUGAGGUACACAAUAAGUUCUUUGCCUUAGUCUUCACUGACAGUCAGGCAUUCCACAUCCUUCAUGUUCCUGAAACUAUACGAGGGGUAUGGGGAAGGAAAAUCCCUCCAACUGUAUGAGAAGGGGACAUCUGAGACCACCAGAUGAGACUGAACCUGCACAAGUCUGUGGGGCCAGAUAACAAGCAUCACAGGGUUCUGAAGGAGUCAGCUGAUGUAGUGGCCAAGCCACUAUCAUAUUUUAAAAGUCAUGGCUAUCAGGCAAAGUUUCCCAGUGACUGAAAAAAAGGAAAAAAACCACUCCCAUUAAAAAAAAAAAAAAAAGUAGAAAGAAAGACCUAGGGAACUACAGGCUGAUCAGCCUCACAUUUGUGCCUGGGAAGAUCAUGGAGCAGAUGUGGAAGAGAUGUUAAGGCACACGUGAGAUGAAGAGGUGAUCCAAGAUAGCCAGCAUAGCUUCAUCAAAGACAGACUGUGCCUGACCAAUCUGGUGGCCUUCUAUAGUGGAACAGUGGCAUCAGUGGUCAAAGAAAAGGCAACUGAUGUCUUCAUAUUGGACUUCUUGAAAGACUUUUGAUGUCACACCACCUGAACUCUAAAUUGGAGAGAGAUGGAUUUGAAGGCUGGACUACCUGAUCAUAAGAUAUGUCCCUCUUCCCAAUUCUAUGCAUGUAGUGGUCAUGGUAUGCGCAAGGCCAAAAGAAAGGAUUAAUGAAAAUCUGUUUUCUGGAGCUGGUUAGAUGUUCCCUCCAUUUCCCAGUCCACUAAAGAAAAAAACGUCACUUUUUGUUGAGCCUUUUCUUUUCAUGAUUCCAGUUCAUUGAAAUGUCUCACAGAAAACUCUGUUUCAGUGCAGUUUUUAAAAUAUAAAGUGAACAUGACAGAAUGGAAUUCAACUUAAUCCUCUCUUCUUCCUUUAAUAUUUAUAACUUUUAUGAAUCUCGGUGUUAAAUAAUUAAUUUGCUAUGAAUAAUAUUAACUUCUCUCUGGAUGCCGAUCAUUUUAGCAAACGGUAAAAAGCUAGUUGCUUUGACAUUGGAGUUCUCUCUCUGAACUUCAUCCUGUGCAUUGUUCUUCCUCUGUGGAAGGGGGCAGUGGAGCUGACUGCAAUUGUCUAUCCUUACUCACUAGACUGAUUUUGAAGCCUGAGGUUUCUUUUUCUUUUCCUGGAAUAUUUCAGCAUUAAAAAGAAAAAAGAUUUUUGUUAAGUGAAAAGAGAUUUCAGAUGUUUCGCUUUCUCUACUGGAAGAGGUAUAAGUGAAAUAAUGAUCAUCGUCUUUCAGAAAUAAGAACUUUUGAAGUAUCAGAAUAUAAACAAAGACAGAAAUAUCUAGUUUGGCUAUUUUCCUUUGAAAAUAAUCAGGAAUUUUGUUUAGCCCCUUAUUUAAUGUGAUCUUAGCAACAAUUCAGAUGAAUAAUUGGACCUGAAAUUUGUUUAAAUGCACAAUAUACUAGGAAAAAAAGGCUGAUAUGCACAGUAACAUUAUGAUGAAGUAACACAAAAUUAUAUUUGAUUUAAGGUUAUCGACAUCUCACUGGGCUGUACAUUUUAAACCACAUUGGCAUGAUGGAACAGAAGUUGAGAAUUGCUAAUUGCAACAAAUAAUAUUUUAUGCCUGCCUGCACAUGUAUGAUGAUUGUUAAAAGAGAUCUCAUGUAUCCCUCGGUUUCCUAAGAUAUUGUUUUAGCCUCAGUUAAACGCAGUAUCUAAUUGCCAAUUGCAAUGCAUUAUGUUUAUAUAAUAUGAUACUUAUUUUUUCCACUUGAGCAGAUAGAGUGGGUAUCUAUUUAUAUUAUCAUAAUGUUUGAGUCAGUAGAGGCUGAUUAGUUACACUGAAAACUGGCAAAAGCAAAUGCAAUCUCCUGAAUAAAAAUCGGCACAUUUUGUGGUAUGUGAAUGCAAACAGGCAAACAAGAAGGGAAAUGUGUUCUUCUAUAUUAAAGUCCUGGUAGUCUUCUGAUAGAGCCUAUUUAAACCAAUAAAACUGUAAAAUGUGAAAUUCAUCCAAAUUUGUCUUUUUUCCCUUCCCAGAUAACUGAUGAUCUUGGCAUUGCUUAGCAAUAAAUAGACACAGAGAUACAGCCCUUAGCUGAACACUGUGUUAUUUCAUUUUGCAAGGUACACAUAAAGUGCAUCCCUGUUACCACAUUUGAUAGAGUUCAUUUGGGUGAAGAGGCUCUGCGUUGGAUGAGCUGUGUAUUCCACUAAUGAGUAUUUUCUAUAUAUUGCUUCUUAUGAAGAACUGACAGCCUUGUAAUAAUCUGUUUUGACAGUAUUUUCCUAGAAAUAUUGUGUUAAAUAUUUUUAGACAUGAGGGAUCAUGGACAUAUGGAUAUAGUGGUGUGUGCCUUUCUAAUUAUAUGCAUUAUACAAUUUGCCAUUGUUGGAGACUGUUGUACCAUCUUUCAUUCAUUUAAUAAUGCUUUUGCAAAUUGGCAGAUAGCAUUUGGGCUAAAAUACACACAGGGUUUUUGCAGGAAUAAAACAUGCUCUGCCUUUUCUCUAGUGUAGAGCAAUUUGUCAAGUAAUUAGCCAACCUAAUUAAAUUUUUGUAGCACUAAUCAAACGAAUAUGCUAAAAUUUUCUUUGCACAGCCAGUUUGCUGUCUGCUUGCAUUUAACUUGAUGGUUUGAAAGAGGCCCUACUAUGUCUGCCACUCCACUUAAUCACCUCAUUUGCAUUUUAUAUUGGUAAAUUAAAUUAAGCACCAGUGGCUUUUAGUAUGAUUGACUAUGGUCAGGGCUGUUCAGAUGGGACUUUUUCACAGAAAAUUAGGCACAUUUUAAUAUAAGUGAGUCUGUGCUUUCAGCAUUCAGCAAACUACAUUCACUCAGCUAAUUAAAAGUGCUUGUUGCUUUUUGCCAAUGUAUGAUAGAUUUAUCCAGCUGGUGUGUCCAUUUUCUUUUGCAUAAUUUCUUGAUGGAAGUUUUUUAUCUUUAUACAUAAUAAGAUUGUCGAAACAACACUUCAAACCAAUUUGAAAGAACUAUAUAAAUAAUAUUUUGCAGAAGCUAUUUACUUUGAAAGAAAUACACUUGCUGCUCAGCAAACUGAUUAGGCUAUAUAUCUUUGUUUUUACAUCCUUCUACAGCAUAAUCCUUGACACUAGGAAAUUUUCAGCUUUCACUGACCCAGAACACAUCCCUUUCACAAAAUCAUGGUGAAAAGAUGCUGACGAGUACCCCUAACCUUUCUCUCGUGGUGCAGAGUUUGAUCCUCCUGCAGAGCAGGUCACAAUUCUGACCCAAACUCUUACAGAUUAAAUUGCUUAUGGAAUAAAUUUAUUAAAUCUAUCAGGUAUAAGUGUUCUUUCAUUAUUUAUUAUCUCAAAGAAUACUUUUCCAUACGUAAAGCAUUGCCUGCAAUGGAAAUGGACAUUUUUCAGACAGUAUGAACACAAAUAUAAAAAUGCAUUGCCUGAUGAGCUGAAGUUCACAUAUGUGCCAAUAGCCACAAAAUAGAAAAGCAAACAUAUUUCAAAAAAAUAUAUAUCUCAAGCUUUUGUCAGAUUUUGGGAAGAGAUUGACUGGCUUUAAAUUGGUAGUACAACAACAAACAAAAAAAUGAAGGAUUAGAAGAUGUGACCUCCUUUUCAUAACAGAAUUAAAUUCACACAAUGUCACUUACUUCCUUGUGUAUAUAUGCCCAUAAUUCUAUCAUAAAAGGACUGAUAUAACAAAGAAAAUCAUGCUGCUGACUAAGACCUGACAUGAAACAACAUAGGUGACAAAAAGAUCAUUUUAUUCCCAGCCAGUAAAAUAUCUGGUAAUUAUCUGGCCCCAAAGUACUUUCAACAGGCUCGUUCUUCCCCUUUGCUGGAGUGGUAAAGAGCCAUUGGUUUGGCCAGAAGUAUGAAGGUUUUGAUGGAAGGGCAAAGUCUGCACUUUCUUUAGACAGUUGAUAGAAAUGAUUGGCAGCAGGUGAGGUAAGCAAUGAAAGAUUCCGCUGCAGAAACCUCAGUGAAUUUGUCAGAGAAUUGAACAGAAAUUUUAACAUAAAAUGCAAGAGGUUUAUACAGGGAUCCGAAGAAAAUUCUGCCCUCCAAAUGGCAAGACUUUUUGCUGAGGUAGCUGCAGACUGCUCAGACAGUUCUGUCAAUAGAGCUGUGACAGAAGUAAUUUAAGAGAGG
ensembl:lncRNA